rnacentral:lncRNA from 1 species
CUGAUGCACAAAUGAUGUGAAAUAGCUUGUUGCUUCACUGUGAUGUUAAAUAGGAUCCUGUCUGUACCCUAGAGCAUCCUGGUUGGAGACAUAAAGAAAAAGAAAAAGAAAAAAAAAAAAAAGAAAGAAAAAAAAAAAAAAAAACACAAAAGCACAAAGGUAAAUGUGACUUUCCAACCCAGCAGAUAGAAUGAGACUACUCAGAAGAGCAGGGAGCAGACUGACUUCCUAUUUUUGCUCCUAAAACAGUCUCUGUAGUUUACAGCACAAAUUUAAAAGAAACGCAAAAGCUAUUUCUGGAGCCUUGGUCACACAAGUGCCAACAGCGUGAAACAUCACAGACCCUCUUGGGCUCAUUCCCAUAAAGCCUGGAUCCAAGCAUCUUCUUUCACCAUUGUCUUCACAGAUGCUUCUUGAAAGAGAGUAAGUCCCAUGUCAGUCCAUCUGCCUGUGACUUUACAGCCCCAAAAUCCUAUGCUGACCUUUAAAACAGAACUAUUUUAAAGAUCUUAUUUUAUUAUUAUUUUUUCUUUAACAGUCAGAUUUAUCAAGGAAGAGGUUUGAGGGGAGGGCCUCGCCUAUCAAGCUUGACAGGGAAAUGAGUUAAACAUGCAGUCACUCCACCCCAUCAAGGCAGAAGCCCAACUGGAUUGUCCCAGGCUCCACGAGGCAUCUCAAUUUGUGUGCUGAACCGCAUCAAGCACUGGAGCCACUUUCCUGAUGACAGAAACGCCCUGCUCUGCUGGCCAGCGUUGUCUGCACACAUGGGACAUGAGUUUCAGGGACAGUGGCAAACAGAAGCAGGAAGAAUACCUGAAGACCACCCCUCACUUUGCCUGUCUCUGGUACAAUGCACUCAUUUGGGCUGUCAGAUGAAACCAACAGCCAUCCUUUAGACUUCUCUGGACUUUCUCUUUGAGAAAACAAAGGUCAUACAACACUGUAAGGGCCUUCUGGAGAACAAUGCUGAUCAUUCAAGUUUCAUCCUGCAAGCCAGUACAGACCAAUGAUGUUUACUGGGUCAGCUUCUCAUCAUUCCCAAAUAUCUAACUGCACAGGUAGCAAAAGAAGCAAGCUGAUGUUCUCCCACCAUCCUCGCACGUGAUGGGGCACUAAUAUUUAC